rnacentral:rRNA from 1 species
UACGUAGGGUGCAAGCGUUAAUCGGAAUUACUGGGCGUAAAGCGUGCGCAGGCGGUGAUGUAAGACAGUUGUGAAACUCCCGGGCUCAACCUGGGAACUGCAUCUGUGACUGCAUUGCUGGAGUGCGGCAGAGGGGGAUGGAAUUCCGCGUGUAGCAGUGAAAUGCGUAGAUAUGCGGAGGAACACCGAUGGCGAAGGCAAUCCCCUGGGCCUGCACUGACGCUCAUGCACGAAAGCGUGGGGAGCAAACAGG